rnacentral:rRNA from 11 species
AUUUGUGUCUAAAUAUCCUAAAUGCACCAGAUCGUAUCUGAUCUUGGACACUAAGCAGGAUCAGCUCUGGUUUGUUCUUGAAUGGUAGACUGCCAAUUAAUACCAGAUGCUUUAGGUU